AGGACGAACGCUGGCGGCGUGCCUAACACAUGCAAGUCGAACGAGGUUAAUCCGGUAGCAAUACUGGUGACUGCCUAGUGGCGAACGGGUGAGUAGCACGUGAGCAACCUGCCCCGAAGACCGGGACAACACCGGGAAACCGGUGCUAAUACCGGAUACCCCCACCUAAUCGCAUGAUCUGGUGAGGAAAUGGAUUCCGCUUCGGGAGGGGCUCGCGGCCUAUCAGCUAGUUGGUGAGGUAACGGCUCACCAAGGCUUCGACGGGUAGCUGGUCUGAGAGGACGAUCAGCCACACUGGGACUGAGACACGGCCCAGACUCCUACGGGAGGCAGCAGUGGGGAAUCUUGCACAAUGGGCGAAAGCCUGAUGCAGCAACGCCGCGUGAGGGACGAAGGCUUUCUGAGUUGUAAACCUCUUUCAGCAGGGACGAUUGUGACGGUACCUGCAGAAGAACGCCCGGCAACUACGCGCCAGCAGCCGCGGUAA
rnacentral:rRNA from 1 species